rnacentral:rRNA from 1 species
UACGAAGGGGGCUAGCGUUGCUCGGAAUCACUGGGCGUAAAGCGCACGUAGGCGGCUUCUUAAGUCAGGGGUGAAAUCCUGGAGCUCAACUCCAGAACUGCCUUUGAUACUGAGAGGCUUGAGUCCGGGAGAGGUGAGUGGAACUGCGAGUGUAGAGGUGAAAUUCGUAGAUAUUCGCAAGAACACCAAUGGCGAAGGCGGCUCACUGGCCCGGUACUGACGCUCAUGUGCGAAAGCGUGGGGAGCAAACAGG